rnacentral:rRNA from 1 species
GAUGAACGCUGGCGGCGUGCCUAAUACAUGCAAGUCGAGCGAACAGACGAGGAGCUUGCUCCUCUGACGUUAGCGGCGGACGGGUGAGUAACACGUGGAUAACCUACCUAUAAGACUGGGAUAACUUCGGGAAACCGGAGCUAAUACCGGAUAAUAUAUUGAACCGCAUGGUUCAAUAGUGAAAGACGGUUUUGCUGUCACUUAUAGCUGGAUCCGCGCCGCAUUAGUUAGUUGGUAAGGUACCGGCUUACCAAGGCGACGAUGCGUAGCCGACCUGAGAGGGUGAUCAGCCACACUGGAACUGAGACACGGUCCAGACUCCUACGGGAGGCAGCAGUAGGGAAUCUUCCGCAAUGGGCGAAAGCCUGACGUAGCAACGCCGCGUGAGUGAUGAAGGACUUCGGAUGGGAAAGCUCUGUUGUUGGGAGAGAACAAAUGUUGAUGUAUCCAGGCACGUCUUGACGGUACCUAAUGAGUAAGCCACGGCUAACUACGUG